CCUACGGGAGGCUGCAGUGGGGAAUAUUGGACAAUGGGGGCAACCCUGAUCCAGCCAUGCCGCGUGUGUGAAGAAGGCCCUCGGGUUGUAAAGCACUUUCAGUGAGGAAGAACGCCUGGUGGUUAAUACCCAUCAGGAAAGACAUCACUCACAGAAGAAGCACCGGCUAACUCCGUGCCAGCAGCCGCGGUAAUACGGAGGGUGCGAGCGUUAAUCGGAAUUUCUGGGCGUAAAGCGCGCGUAGGUGGCUUGAUAAGCCGGUUGUGAAAGCCCCGGGCUCAACCUGGGAACGGCAUCCGGAACUGUCAAGCUAGAGUGCAGGAGAGGAAGGUAGAAUUCCCGGUGUAGCGGUGAAAUGCGUAGAGAUCGGGAGGAAUACCAGUGGCGAAGGCGGCCUUCUGGACUGACACUGACACUGAGGUGCGAAAGCGUGGGUAGCAAACAGGAUUAGAUACCCCAGUAGUC
rnacentral:rRNA from 1 species